GGGAGUGACUUGGCUUCGACAAGAAUAAUCCUGUUUGGAUGGCAUGUCGCUUUGGGCAAAGCGUAAAAAGCCUAAAUAAAAUUAAACGCAAACAACGUUAAAUUUGCUCCUGCUUACGCUAAAGCUGCGUAAGUUCAGUUGAGCCUGAAAUCAAGCCAUACUAUCUAACUUGUUUUUCGGUCAUUUUGAUAGUGUAGUCUUAACUUUUGACAAAUUUUAAGAUGAAAUAAAUUCUUAGCCUUACUUUUAAGUUUUGGAAGAUGAGCGAAGUAGGGUGAAAAAGUCAUCUUUGCUAAGCAUGUAGAGGUCUUUAUGGGCUUAUUUUUGGACAGGGGUUCGAUUCCCCUCACUUCCACCA
rnacentral:tmRNA from 1 species